GCUGACACAUCCCGGCCAAUCUCCAGCAGACCCUCCCUCCCAGACCCUCCCACCUCCUGGACAGCAUCCAUGUUGAAGCUGCCUUCAACAUGGAUGCUGUCCAGGAAGUAGGAGGGUCUGGGAGGGAGGGUCUGCUGGAGAUUGGCCGGUAUGUGUCAG
rnacentral:miRNA from 1 species